GUGCGUCCUGCUUCCCAAAAGCCUUACCCUUUUUAAAACUAAAAUCUGCAAUUCUCCCUACACUAUUUAUGACAUGAAAAAAAGUCCGUACCUUAUUUAAGACCUGACCGUUAAAUCAAUACCCUGUUUCAGACCUGUGUCACACAGUGUGGUAAUUAGUUCCCUAUUUCAGACCACUGUUUAAGUCAAAUUGUGAAGGGCUUUUUUGAUGAAAGAGUAGCUCCUUCUAAAAACACAUAGCCAAUGCAAGACUAGAAUGCAAAAACCAUACCAUAUUUGAGACCAAAGGCCAAUAUCGUUACCCUAUUUCUGGGCAAAAUAGCUAAAAAACCAUAGCAUUUGGGGCUGUGCAUACCUGUAUGACAACGUAACUGCUUAUCGUUUAAGGAAUACCGAAAACAAACUAGUUCUUCCUCAAGCUUGAACUGAUUAUCUUAAGAGAAGGUUUUCGUACAGCGGACCUCAGUUGUGGCACAACUUACUUAUAGACCUAAAACAAGCAUCUUCACUGACUGAUUUCAAAUCUAAAUUAAAUUACCACAGUUAAAAGUAAUAUCUUAAUUUUAAGUAACUUUUUAGACACGGCCUCCAUGAAAAGCAUUUUUUUUAUUGUAGUUAGGCAGAUAGGUAGAUAGUCCUGUAACUUUUUUGACGGGUGGAAAAACCAUGUAUAAGUAAAGUUAUCUUAUCUUUAUCUUCUCUCAUAUAGCUGAUAUAAGCAAGCACCCCUCCCCAGGAGUUAACAAGCUUCCAAGCUGCAUUUAUCAGAAGUCAAAUUUGUAACGAUGAAACAGAAGCUGAUAAUGUGGAGUAUGCAGUGGUUACGUAUCCACUCUGACAGUAAACAUUAUACAAAGCACAUUGACAUAAAGUGGCAGGCCGUCUGGAGUACUGAAAGAGGAAUGAUGGAAGUCAGAGAAAGCUAUUAAAAGAUAAUCAGGCAAACAAGAAGCAAACAACAGCAUACUGGACAACUAAGAUGAAUGGAGGAGACAGAUACAGCUAGAUCAGGAAAACAAAAACACGAAAAAAUCAAAAGAUCAGUGGAGGAAGGGAAAUACGUCAGGCAUGGCAGGAUUUCCCAGUGACCAGACGACUGAGGAAAGAUAAAGGGAAAGGCAAGACAUGACAUGACAUGACAUGACAUGACAUGAUACUAAAGACACAACAUUAUUCAUAAAGGACAAAAGUAAGACAGAUUGAGAGAUUUUCUUGUAGCCGAAAAAAAUAGGACUGUAAGAUAGGAAUUUUUUCGCGGACUAAGCUAUCUAUAAAAAAUGAACUGGCUCGAAUAUGAUUUACAGUUAGCUUUGCUGUACAAAUUUUAUCCAGUUUUAAUCAUUUUGGAUUGUGUGACUGACGCCUACGUGACUCUUGAGCAUCAGUGGUGUUGCGUUACACUAUCGGCCGAUGAGAAUAUGUUAGUAUGAAGGCUUUGUGCGAGAAUUGCAAUACACGGCAUUGUAAUAGGAGAUUUAACUGUUAAUUUGGCUUGUUUAGAUAAACAGCAAGGCAGCAGAGUACCAAACAAAACUUUGUUUUCUUUAUUUUCUGAGUUAGCAUUUAAAAUACGGCAACAUAAUUCCCGUGCAAAACUUUAUUAAUAUAUUCUCAACGGUCGUUAGUGUAGUGCUAUUCAAUAGUCACGUUCGUUUCUUUCAUAUAAUUCACCGAGCUCUCGUAUCGUGAUCUUCGUAAUUCUUUGAUUUUCCUCGAGAAGAAAAUUCUUAUAGUUAGCUUUCGUGUUUAGAAUCACAAUUUUGUUUCUAAUUUUUUUUACAGACCAAUUUCAGAAUAGAUUGUCUUAUUUAUUCAAAUUGUCUCAACCAAAAGCUAUUUUAAAAAGUUUUUAAGAACCAGAAUUUAGGAAAAUUAUUGCUGCUAAGUUUUUGUCGAGUUAUUUCAAGCGUAUUUCGUCGAGUUAGCUUUGUACAAAAUCAGUUUCUCUUGUUUAUUAAAUAUUAUCUAUACAAUUGUCUCGACUGCCUAAAUUUACUCUAAGGGUAACCCUUGUCAAAAUUUUUAAUUUUCCCGCCAAAAAACUUAGAAAAAAUACGGGCGCCAAUAAUACGCAUGCGCCAACU